CACGUAGGAGCCAAGCGUUAUCCGAAUUCACUGGGCGUAAAGCGCAUGUAGGCGGCCUGAUAAGUUGGAUUUGAAAUCUCCCGGCUCAACUGGGAGAGGAGGUACAAUACUGUCAGGCUAGAGGACAGGAGAGGGAGGUAGAAUUCCCGGUGUAGUGGUGAAAUGCGUAGAUAUCGGGAGGAAUACCAGUGGCGAAGGCGGCCUCCUAGACUGUACCUGACGCUCAGAUGCGAAAGCUAGGGGAG
rnacentral:rRNA from 1 species